UCCUCCCACCUGUCCCUCCACGGGACCCAAAUCAUUCGGGCAACACAAAAAGACGAUCAGGUCACCUCUUCCCCGGUACGUGUGGAUCCGUUCCAGCUCACCGACUGCAUACUUGAACCUCUUGGCCCAUGAUCGUCCGAAUCAUCGGACAAAUCUCCCCUAAAGGUGUUCGAUCUUUCCGAAUGUGAACUUACUAGCAUGCCUGAAAAUUCGGGAUUUCUUGCUCUUGAACCCGUAGUGACUAUGUAAUAGUCCGAUUGACGCUGCCUCUGACAGCGACCCCUGUGUCUCCGAAACACCAACAGAGUCA
rnacentral:lncRNA from 1 species